rnacentral:tRNA from 1 species
AGAGAAGAAGUUUAUAAUAAUAUUUGACCUGCAAUCAAAAGAAGGUAGUUGAUAUUACCCUUCUCUA